GAUCAUGGCUCAGGAUGAACGCUAGCGACAGGCUUAACACAUGCAAGUCGAGGGGCAGCGAGGGAGUGGCAACACUUCUGUCGGCGACCGGCGCACGGGUGAGUAACGCGUAUGCAACCUGCCCUUCACAGGGGGAUAACCGGGAGAAAUUCCGACUAAUACCGCAUACGUCCUUUGGGGGCAUCCCCGGGGGAUGAAAGAAUUAUCGGUGAAGGAGUGGGCGAUGCGUGAUAUUAGGUAGUUGGUCGGG
rnacentral:rRNA from 1 species